AUCUUAGAGACAUUUAACAAAAAUUACAAUAUUAUGAUAGACAUUUUUUUUUGACAAUAAAAUUAUGAUAGACUUAUUGCAACUCGAAAGUGCUGCGAUCUAUUUAAUUAUAGUUAACAAACUAUAGAGUUUUUACAUAUAAAAUGAUCAAACGAUUUUCAAUUUGUUGCAUGCAAAAAAGAAAAACUAUGACUAAACUUCUCAAGUUUAUUUAUACUUUGAUAAUCUUUAUUUCUAUAUUUCUUGUUGUACUUGAUGGAUUAAGAACGCCAUCUCUUAUUCCAUGGCCUUGCGGACAGGACGAAGAUUGUGAAACAAAGGCAUGUCAUAGGCCAUUAACUCGGAAGUGCAUUUCUUCUAAUUGUGAUUGUGUGAAACGUUCCUUCUUUAUUAAAAAGUGAAUAAAUUAUUGAUAGUGUAAACAAAGGUGUCACACUCCUUUAAGAUGGAGGUGCCUUUAUAAUAA